GGGACUAUAGCUCAGUGGUAGAGCAGACGACUCAUAAUCGUUUGGUCGCAGGUUCGAACCCUGCUAGUCCCACUA
rnacentral:tRNA from 1 species